rnacentral:rRNA from 1 species
CCUACGGGAGGCAGCAGUGAGGAAUAUUGGUCAAUGGCCGAGAGGCUGAACCAGCCAAGUCGCGUGAGGGAAGACGGCCCUACGGGUUGUAAACCUCUUUUGUCGGGGAGCAAAGCGACCCACGUGUGGUUCAUUGAGAGUACCCGAAGAAACAGCAUCGGCUAACUCCGUGCCAGCAGCCGCGGUAAUACUGAGGAUGCGAGCGUUAUCCGGAUUUCUUGGGGGUAAAGGGAGCGUAGACGGCCAUGCAAGCCAGGGGUGAAAGCCCGGGGCCCAACCCCGGGACUGCCCUUGGAACUGCAUGGCUGGAGUGCGGGAGGGGCAGGCGGAAUUCCUGGUGUAGCGGUGAAAUGCGUAGAUAUCAGGAGGAACACAGGCGGCGAAGGCGGCCUGCUGGACCGCGACUGACGUUGAGGCUCGAAAGCGUGGGGAGCGAACAGGAUUAGAUACCCUUGUAGUC